rnacentral:misc_RNA from 1 species
GAUGAAGAACGCAGCGAAAUGCGAUACGUAGUGUGAAUUGCAGAAUUCAGUGAAUCAUCGAAUCUUUGAACGCACAUUGCGCCCUUUGGUAUUCCAAAGGGCAUGCCUGUUCGAGCGCCAUUUGUACCCUCAAGCUUUGCUUGGUGUUGGGCGUCUUGUCUCCAGUCCGCUGGAGACUCGCCUUAAAGUCAUUGGCAGCCGGCCUACUGGUUUCGGAGCGCAGCACAAGUCGCACUCUUUUCCAGCCAAGGUCAGUGUCCAACAAGCCUUUUUUCAACUUUUGACCUCGGAUCAGGUAGGGAUACCCGCUGAACUUAAGCAUAUCAAUAAGCGGAGGA